GGCAGAAGGAGAAGCAGGCUCCCUGCAGGGAGCCCGACGUGGGACUCGGUCCCAGGACCCCAGGAUCAGGCCCUGGGCUGAAGGCAAGCGCUAAACCACUGAGCCACCCAGGCUGCCCCAGUGGCUCUUUUUAAUAAGAUUUGGGAACCCCUGAAAUAGAGGUUUCCCCUCAUGUGACCCCAUAUCACCUUUCCUGGGACCCCCUAGCCCUCCUGUCACCUCCGGUCACUCUGGCCCACACCUGCCCAGGCACCCGGCCCUCCUCCCGCCUCAUCUGACACCUCGGCAGGUCUGAACUCAGCCCUGGGCCCGGCUCCCAGCCUUCCUCCCUGGCAUCAGGGCCACGGCGUCCUAACAGGACUCCCUGGCACCCUGGCUGGGGUAUCGCCUCAUUCGCAGACUACUCGAAUCCCUCCUUGGAGAGCCAGGGAGGCUCCUGCCCCUUCUCCCUCCUCUGGCCUGACCAUCGCUCUGGCUCUUCAACGUAUUUGGAGCGGCCGCUUACUCAGGGUGCGUCUGGGAGCUGGUGCGAGGGACAGAGGGCUCCCCGGGCCGGGCCUCAGCACUGGCUGGAGACCCCUGCUCCCGCCUGCGCGCCACCUCCUGGAGUGAGAGCCCCCUGGGAACUCUUCUCUACAGGGUCUGGAGGUGCGUGAAGCACAAGCAAAACAAAAAAAAAAAUCAGAAGCUGUUCUAGGAGGGGCCUGCAGGGCUGAGGGCCCAGAUCUACUUGUGGGGUCUGUGCCCACAAUCCCUCUAAGGGCGGAGAAAACGCCUACCACAUGUGUGAUGAAAUGCAGACCGGGAACAUCCCUGUGCUCAGCACACACCCCCAGAAAGUGUCAACUGGAGGGAGGCCAGGGACACCUAGACCCGGCUCCUCACCUCAUCUUGGGUCAAUGAAGUCUCUGCCUGGAAUCCUGGGCAUCAAGGGCCGCUUGCUUGCACCCCUGGUCGGUGUCUACCCACGAAGUGCCAGCAGCACACCUCUGUCUCCCCCUCCCAAGCCGUGACAGUGACAAAUGGCUCCAGAUAUCGCCAGCUGUCUGUGAAGGGGCAAAAUAGCCCCUGGAUGAAAACCACCGCCUUAGAGGCUUAUCCAGGUCAGGAGCGCAAGCUCGAAGGCCAGGUGGCCUGGGACGCGCUCUCGGCUUGGGCACUGACCAGCUGUGUGGCCGUGAGCGACCCGAACAGCUCCGAGUGUCAGCAUCCACAUCUGUCCCUGCAGCCACUGGGGCGGGGGGGGGACCCAAAGAGGAGGGUAGGACGCUGUCUGCGGAGGGCCCAGGAGACAUCAGAGGAGGUGCUGGGCUCACCUCAAGCACCCAGUAAGUGGUGCUGACAACCAGAGCUGAGCACGUACGUGAACCUGAGUCCAUCCUGCUCCUGAAGCGGCCUCCACUGCAGGGGAGGGAGGAAAAGCAUCCUCACUCCUUUCCUCUCUUCCCAGGAUAGAGCGACAUUAGAGGAGGGAAGGCAGGGGACCGAGGCUACUUUUAAUGGAGGAGGGCGGAGUGACGGGGCAGGAGCGCCCAGUGGCCUGUGCCCGAGGUUCAGCAGAGCCACAUGGGCCACAUCCGGCUCUGGCUUUGCUCGAUGCUUCGACAUUCCAAUGAGAUAAGCUAUAUUCUAAACAAUGUGGUCACUAAAAUGUGAGCUAUGUUGCUUUGGAAACCCUAAAAAAGAAAAAAAAAGAAGAAAAAGCCCAAGAAAUCCAAGCGUAAUCCACGUACUCAAAGGGGUCGGGCAACGGGUCAGAGCCAAGAGGCGCUGAGCAAGGACUGGUGACCACCACUGCCCAGGGGCAGGCUCUGCUGACCCUGCUGCGUGGACGUUCCUGGUCUGGGCAGCGACUGCAGCUUUACUGGAAGACAUCUAGCACGAACCAUCUGGGUCACUGUGCAUCUGGCGUGGGUCAGCCUGAAGAGGCAGCUGCGGCUGAUCUGUGCGGGCCCUGGCUUCCCCGGCAAAGUACAGAACAGAGUCCUCACCCCAAAUUAUAAAGCCUUCCAGCACCCCCUGGGCUUCGUCCAGACAGGAGAGCGAGCGCUUGGCUCCCAGGAACACUGGCACAGCCUACCCAUCAAAAGAAAAGCCACAGGCCACCCAUCGGGUAACACGGUGCCAGAACCACUCUGGGGAACUGUGGGCUUUGAGGCAUCUCAGAAGCAGAGGCGUGCUUGGGGUCCUCGCCCAGGAGGCCCCCCAAGCAGAUCUGAGCCCUUAUCCAAACAUCCCUGCAACUUGCAGAUACACACUGGACAGCGUGGUGGAAAACGCUGGACUCGGGAGCCUGACACGUAAUUAAGGAGAUGCUGGUGGGGGAGGGUGGGGGGUAACAGUGCAGUCAGGCCAAGGCAAAGUCUGACGGGUACCAUUUUACAGAGAGCUGUUUGGAUGAGCUGGCCUGUGUUCAGAAGCAGGACCCACCCGGGGCAGUGCCCCCUGCCACGUACUCACUAUUCUCCGCAAACACCUAAAACCUAGCCCUGCCUUUCACCUCUGCCCCUCCAGGCACCUCUCAGCUGCUUCCUCAAGAUUCUUCUGCAAGAGGAGCUGCAGAUGAGAACAUAUGGUCACCACCUCUGGGUUCUGCCUUGAAUGGCAACCUGUUUUUAAACAGCAUAUAUGUCCUCAUGGUUUUUUUUUUUUCCCCCACUCACUUACCCACACCACGGUUAAGUACAAGGGAAAAAAAAAAAAAAAAGUCAGGACCCUGGAAAGGAAAAUAUUAUAAACAGGGUAACCACGAGGUUAUAGCUACUGAGAAAGCACUCAGCUUGACUCUGAGCUUCCCAGCAGACAAGGCAAAAAGGGAACAUGAAUUGUUAUCUGGUUGUGGACAAACAAUGCUUACAAGUUCUGCAGGGGAAUCGAUGCUUGUCCUGAUAGCAAAUCUUAAAUCUGUCACAGGUGGCAAUCUCCUCCCACAUCCAUCAAGCCAGCCAGCCUUAAUUUCAAGAGUUUUCCAACAAACGCAGAAGCGACUGUGCGUAAGGUUGCUUCUUGAAAAGGAUGUGCAAACAUGCCACUCGGAGGCCCGUCCGGGAGGACGACUCUACAGGGCUAAGGGGACUUGCCUCCCUCGCGGUGGUUCCGCUUCUCCGGGCCAAAGACUCAACGCACCUGGAGUGGCAGACGGUGGCAUGUGCCCAAAGCCGCCCCUGCAAACAGCCCUGCUCCCUGCUCCCGGCCCGACCCCUGAGUCUGUGCUAAUCUCUCUUCCCAGAGCAGAGGUGUCGGAGACGCAGGAACCUCCAGCUCCCCCCAGGCGCAGCCCCCUGCCCCCACCAGUGUGGUACCGGCCAGACUUCUCGAGUGGCGUGGGGCACCGAAUUCGUGCCUGGCCCCCUGCCAGCCUAACGGCACUGGCUGGCUUCAGUUUUAAGGCCGAUUCCAAGCUGGCAUAGACUUUCUGUUUUGUUUAAGGAAAAGAAAACAGAAUAAAACCCAGAAGGCAAUACUUGGAUUAAGGGAUGCCUAUUAAAAACAUGUGCGAGAGAUCCAAAUCCGGUAAAGGAAAAGGAGGGGCGACAGAAGGGGGAAAUUAACUUUCUACUAUGAAUCGAAAGCAGGGAGCGGGCGAAGCACCGAAGCCGCAAAGGCUAAAGGUCAGAACAGGAACGAACUGCCUUGGUCGGGGUCCUCCCCACCUGUGGAAGGCAGCGUGACCUCCUGUCCUGCACACCAGUCCCCACGAAGCCUCACGGUCCUCGCUCAGCCCCGGGGCUCAUCCCUGGCUGCCUGGCCCGCCUGCCCCUCAUCCGCCCGGACUCGACCUCCCAGCCCCAGCUCGUGCGGCUGUCAACCGGCCCCUGGUCGCUCUGUGCAUCGUGGCCCUCGCGACUGAGCCAGUGGCAUCCCCGGGGAUGGCACCUGCUGGCCCAGGACGGCCGGGUCCCCGCGCCCGGUGCACCAAUUCCAACCUGUAAGAUGACGUGUGCAGGGGGAAGCCCGCGCCCGUUCAGCCUCGGACCACCUUCCUGCAGCCGAGACCAGAGGCGAAGUCGGGGGGCCAGGGCCUCCGGCCGGCGGCUACCUCCCUGCCACUGCGACGCCUAUGAUUUCUUUUUUCCUUUUUUUUUAAAAAGACCUUAUUUACUUAUUCAUGAGAGAGAGAGAGGCAGAGACACAGGCAGAGGGAGAAGCAGGCUCCAUGCAGGGAGCCCGAUGUGGGACUCGAUUCCAGGACCCCAGGAUCAUACCCUGGGCCAAAGGCAGGCACUAAACCGCAGAGCCCCCCGGGGAUCCCCGUGAUUUCUUAAGCUUACAGAGGAUCAGUGCCUGAUGAGGCCGGAGCAAAAGCUUCGUGCAGCAGCGGCAGAUGCUGGAACAAGGAUUCAGCCGAACCUUUGUCAGCGUUUCCGGGGAGCAGUCCCACAGAUGGUCGGCAGGUUGUAAGAGCAAAGCAUUCCAGCAGAUCCACGGGCAAAGGACUGCUCAGAGGCUACGGCACAAGGCUUUCCAAACUCAGGCACCUUCCCACUCCAGCCCAUCCCAGCUCCUGGGUGUCCCGCCUCCACAGCUUCCCAGUUAAGGCUGGCUGACGAUAAGCGCCCGCGGAUUCAGGCCCGCCGCCCUCUCUCAGUGCCCCUCCCGGCCCUGCCACCAUCUCUCCAAAACAGCUUCCUAAGCCUCACAGCGUCCCACCUGUCCUGCUGGGUGCAACUCACACAUGUCACCACAACUCUGUCGUCUUUCCUACCCCAUCUGGCACUUUCCUCCUCGGCCUAUAUGGUUUGUCUUACGCCUGCACCCCUGGCACAGUGCAUCGCAGUGGGGACGCAGAUACCUCCCGCCCGCCCGUAAGACCGUGAGUGGUCACGUGGAUCCCCAGGGUCAGUACCGACUAGGAAACACAGUGAAGUUGACUGAAUGAAUGAAACAGGGACACUGGCAAGUCUGGAGGCAUGUCCCCACUGGAAUGCCACCACUGCUUCCUUGGCCUCUCCGCCUACUUCAACUGCACCCAGUUUUAAAAUUGUUUUAAAAUUACAUUUAGUCCUGCCUUAUUGAUCCCCAUAUUGAUCCCCAAGGCCACAGCAUCAUUCAUUCCCCUUCAACCCCCGCCCCCCCCACCCCCCCACCUGGACUCACACUCACUGACUGGGAGAAACACCUGGGGAACCAAUGAGGGAGGAAGACACAGGCUGGUCGGCAGAGCUCCCACCCAGGGUCCUCAACCUGACAACUGCCCUCAGCUACAAGUCAGUAAGCGUCCUGGAGCUUUGUUCUGAGAAGGAGGUGGUGAUGGGGGAGCUGGUUUAAGUGAUGGGAGCAGAUGGAAGCAUGUAAUCUGGAUCCCGGAGGCCGGGAUUCAGAGCUUCCCCUUUUCCUAACUGUGUGAGUUGGCAGGAAUUAGGUAACUAGUCUUGUUUUUUGGCUUCCUAAUCAGGAGACUGAAACAUUGUAAUACUGUUAUCUUACAAGUGGUUAAGGACACUGGUUAACACACGCAAAGUGCCCUGUGCAACACUCAGUAAACAGUAAGUUCUCAAGGAAUGUUUGCCACCAUCGUCACUGUCAUCCGGCCCCUUCCAGCUAGGAUGCCAGGAGUCUGUAAGAUUUGUCUAGGUAGGGAUGAAGCUGAUAGUCUUGAAUGGGUGAAGGUGGGAGGUACUGGGGCCCUGCAGGCAGGGAGGAAUCUGAACCCCGACCCAUCAGUUGACUCGUUCUCCCGUUCAGGUGUUCCCAGCAGACUGGCCCCUACUCCGCACUACCAGGCUUGGGGGCUAUUCCUUCCUUUGGAGAAGUGACCUAAGAAUUCUCAACCCUCAGAUAAGGGGCCUGAGGACCAGGGCAGCAGGGAGGGAGGAUUGAGUCAAUGGGACACUUCUGCCCCAGGUCCAUGUUCAAAAACCAUCCUGUCACCCUGGUCCACACAAUCUAGAAGGGAAACCACAGCAAGCAACCACGUGGGACAACUUUCAUUUGGAACCACUGAGUCAGGCAGCAUGGCUUCAAAGGCAAGGGCUUUGUUCCAGAGUCUGUCGACCGACCGACCGACGACAGGGCUGCCUUGGCCAUGGGGCGGGGGUGGAGGUGGGUAGUAAAAAGGGCCCCCAAAUUAAAUCUAAGCCAGCUGACCUCAAAAGCUGGGAACUCGGAGUCAAGCUCACAGUCUUGGCCUUAAUUUCUCAAGUGUUAACACAGCUUCUAGCCUUCAGAGUUUGUUUUUAAUAACUCAAUCGGUCCUUUCACGUCAGGAAUGUGACCUUCCCUCUGCAAAGCCCAACACUCACAGCGAUAUUAUUUUACAAAGAUGUUAGAACAGAUUCGCCCAAAGUCACAUUUUCACACUGCCCACUUGUCAGUCUGUAUGAAAGCGGUCUCAGGCAUCUCCCAAUGUUCUAAAUGCUUUUCUUCAUCUGAUGCUAUCAGUCAAGGACUGGGAGCAACUGGGAAUAAAAACCAGGCUCCCCCCCACCUCGCCCUCCACCCCCCACCCCCACUGAUUCACAGAGCUUGGGUAUUAACUCUUUCUUUUCCUGAGCCACAAAUCAAAGCCCAGCAGUAAAGGCCAAAAUGAAAUCAAACUCACAUUUUUCUAAAACUACCAGACCAGCACGUUAGAAAAAAAAAAAAAAAAAUCCCCUCAAUAAGAAUGGAAUGGAUGUUUCAUUU